UGCGUAGGUGGUAUUUCAAGUCAGAUGUGAAAACCCAGGGCUCAACCUUGGAAUUGCAUUUGAAACUGAAAAACUAGAGUUCGGGAGAGGAGAGUGGAAUUUCCGGUGUAGCGGUGAAAUGCGUAGAUAUCGGAAGGAACACCAGUGGCGAAGGCGGCUCUCUGGACCGACACUGACACUGAGGUACGAAAGCGUGGGGAGCGAACA
rnacentral:rRNA from 1 species